rnacentral:lncRNA from 1 species
CGCCCCCCAUGGACACACGCACACUCCACUACUACAGUCCCAUCACCACUACCACCAAAAAAAAAAAAAACACCUGCCUCAUUCCUUCCUAAAGAUCUUUGUGAUUUAGUUUAGGUGUCGCUGUUCAGGGAAGCCUGCAGGGUUAAGAACCUUUCUAGGAACAGGUAUUGCCCCAUCUGAACUGUAGACCUUCCUAGAUUGUAAACUCCAUUAAGUCAGGAACAAUGUCAGUUCACUUUUCCCCAGUGCUCAAUUCAUGACACGUGGUCAAUAUUUUUGUUGAAGGCAUUAAUAUAUUUUCUUUUCUUUUUGAUCUUGGACCUGACUGUAAGUCUCAAAAGUUCACAGUUUUCUGUGUUUAAAACUAUUCACUUGCGUGCUAAUGGAUAUAUGUGGUUAACUUGCCUUAUGUAGGAUCACAAGGAAAAGCACAGAUUAACUAUGGCCCCUACCUAGUCUCAAAUUUGCUGAGACAAGUAGACUAUAAAAAUGGAAAGCAACUACUGUCUGUCUACAUUCCAUCAUUAGUGUCCAAAUUGAAUAAUGCCUGUGAAUUUUGGAUUUAAGGGUUUGAAGUUGAGGGUUAUCAUAUCUACCAUGGACUGAAUUGUAUCCCUGCAAAAUUCAUAUGCUGAAGCCCUAACCCCCAAUAUGACUGUAUU